CGACCGUUGGCUGAAUGGCUUAGGCGGGGGCCUGCAAAACCUCCUUAUGUGAGUUCGAAUCUCAUGCGGUCGUCCA
rnacentral:tRNA from 1 species